CAGCAGCCGCGGUAAUACGGAGGAUCCGAGCGUUAUCCGGAAUUAUUGGGUUUAAAGGAUGCGUAGGCGGAUAGAUAAGUCAGUGGUGAAAGACGGUGGCUCAACCAUCGCAGUGCCGUUGAUACUGUUUAUCUUGAAUAUGGAUGAGGUAGGCGGAAUGUGGCAAGUAGCGGUGAAAUGCAUAGAUAUGCCACAGAACACCGAUUGCGAAGGCAGCUUACCAAGGCAAAAUUGACGCUGAGGCACGAAAGCGUGGGGAUCGAACAGGAUUAGAUACCCCUGUAGUCCCUGUCUCUUAUAC
rnacentral:rRNA from 1 species